rnacentral:rRNA from 1 species
AUUGAACGCUGGCGGCAUGCUUUACACAUGCAAGUCGAACGGCAACGCGGAGAAGCUUGCUUCUCUGUCGGCGAGUGGCGAACGGGUGAGUAUAGCAUCGGAACGUGCCAAGUAGUGGGGGAUAACCAAACGAAAGUUUGGCUAAUACCGCGUAAGCUCCAAGGAGGAAAGUAGGGGACCUAAAUAAGGCCUUACGCCAUUUGAUCGGCCGAUGUCGGAUUAGCUAGUUGGUGGGGUAAUGGCUCACCAAGGCAAUGAUCCGUAGCGGGUCUGAGAGGACGAUCCGCCACACUUGGACUGAGACACGGCCCAGACUCCUACGGGAGGCAGCAGUGGGGAAUUUUGGACAAUGGGGGAAACCCUGAUCCAGCCAUGCCGCGUGUAUGAAGAAAGCCUUAGGGUUGUAAAGUACUUUUGUUAGGGAAGAAAAGCUAGUUUUUAAUAAAAAUUAGUGAUGACGGUACCUAAAGAAUAAGCACCGGCUAACUACGUG